UACGUAGGGGGCAAGCGUUGUCCGGAAUCAUUGGGCGUAAAGCGCGUGUAGGCGGCCAGGUAAGUCCGUUCUGAAAGCCCGGGGCUCAACCCCGGGAGGCGGAUGGAUACUGCUUGGCUCGAGUCCGGAAGAGGCGAGUGGAAUUCCCGGUGUAGCGGUGAAAUGCGCAGAUAUCGGGAGGAACACCUAUGGCGAAGGCAGCUCUCUGGGACGGUACUGACGCUGAGACGCGAAAGCGUGGGGAGCGAACAGG
rnacentral:rRNA from 1 species